rnacentral:rRNA from 1 species
UUGGAGGGCAAGUCUGGUGCCAGCAGCCGCGGUAAUUCCAGCUCCAAUAGCGUAUAUUAAAGUUGUUGCAGUUAAAAAGCUCGUAGUUGAACUUCGGGAUUUGCCCAUUAGUCAGGCUUAACUGUCUGCACUGGUGUGACGAGUUCCUACCUUCUGAGGAAUCUCCAUGUCAUUCAGUUGGUGUGGGGGGAAAUCAGGACUGUUACUUUGAAAAAAUUAGAGUGUUUAAAGCAGGCAUCCGUCUGAAUACAUUAGCAUGGAAUAAUAAAAUAGGACGGUUUGGUUCUAUUUUGUUGGUUUCUAGGAUCACCGUAAUGAUUAAUAGGGAUAGUUGGGGGCAUUAGUAUUCAAUUGUCAGAGGUGAAAUUCUUGGAUUUAUUGAAGACUAACUACUGCGAAAGCAUUUGCCAAGGAUGUUUUCAUUAAUCAAGAACGAAAGUUAGGGGAUCGAAGACGAUCAGAUACCGUCGUAGUCUUAACCAUAAACUAUGCCGACUAGGGAUCGGACGAAGUUAAUUUUUUAAUGACUCGUUCGGCGCCUUACGGGAAAC